GGGUUAAGUCCCGCAACGAGCGCAACCCUAUUGCUAGUUACCAUCAUUAAGUUGGGGACUCUAGCGAGACUGCCAGUGAUAAACUGGAGGAAGGUGGGGAUGACGUCAAAUCAUCAUGCCCCUUAUGACCUGGGCUACAGACGUGAUACAAUGGCUGGAACAAAGGGAUGCGAAGCAGUGAUGUGGAGCGAAACCCAUAAAAACAGUCUCAGUUCGGAUUGAAGUCUGCAACUCGACUUCAUGAAGUCGGAAUCGCUAGUAAUCGCGGAUCAGAACGCCGCGGUGAAUACGUUCUCGGGGUUU
rnacentral:rRNA from 1 species